CCUACGGUAGGCAGCAGUGGGGGAUAUUGCACAAUGGGGGAAACCCUGAUGCAGCGACGCCGCGUGAGUGAAGAAGUAUUUCGGUAUGUAAAGCUCUAUUAGCAGGGAAGAAAAUGACAGCACCUGACCAAGUAGCCCCGGCUAACUACGUGCCAGAACCCGUGGUAAUACGGAGGGGGCAAGCGUAAUCCGGAUUUACUGGGGGUAAAGGGAGCGUAGGCGGUUAUGUAAGUGUGGAGUGAAAGCCCGGGGCCCAACCCCGGGAGUGCUGUGGAAACUGUGUAACUUGAGUACAGGAGGGGCAGGCGGAAUUCGUGGUGUAGCGGUGAAAUGCGUAGAUAUCAGGAAGAACACCGACGGCGAAGGCGGCCUGCUGGACUGAAACUGACGUUGAGGCUCGAAAGCGUGGGGAGCGAACAGGAUUAGAUACCCGUGUAGUC
rnacentral:rRNA from 1 species